rnacentral:rRNA from 1 species
GUAAGUGUCUACCAGGGGAAAGGGUGGGUUACCCAACUGGAGGAGUGUGUUCGCCCACGGGGGGAAUGAGCCCCGGCCCUUAUUUCUUGGGGGAGGCAGCCAGUAGGAAUUCUUCCGCAAGGGAAGAAAGUCGGAAGGAGAAACGCCGCUUGAGUAAGAAGGUUUUCGGAUCGUAAAGCUCUGUUGUUAGGGAAGAACAAGUACCGUUCGAAUAGGGCGGUACCUGGACGGUACCUAACCAGAAAGCCACGGCUAACUACGUGCCAGCAGCCGCGGUAAUACGUAGGUGGCAAGCGUUGUCCGGAAUUAUUGGGCGUAAAGGGCUCGCAGGCGGUCUCUUAAGUCUGAUGUGAAAGCCCCCGGCUCAACCGGGGAGGGUCAUUGGAAACUGGGGAACUUGAGUGCAGAAGAGGAGAGUGGAAUUCCACGUGUAGCGGUGAAAUGCGUAGAGAUGUGGAGGAACACCAGUGGCGAAGGCGACUCUCUGGUCUGUAACUGACGCUGAGGAGCGAAAGCGUGGGGAGCGAACAGGAUUAGAUACCCUGGUAGUCCACGCCGUAAACGAUGAGUGCUAAGUGUUAGGGGGUUUCCGCCCCUUAGUGCUGCAGCUAACGCAUUAAGCACUCCGCCUGGGGAGUACGGUCGCAAGACUGAAACUCAAAGGAAUUGACGGGGGCCCGCACAAGCGGUGGAGCAUGUGGUUUAAUUCGAAGCAACGCGAAGAACCUUACCAGGUCUUGACAUCCUCUGACAAUCCUAGAGAUAGGACGUCCCCUUCGGGGGCAGAGUGACAGGUGGUGCAUGGUUGUCGUCAGCUCGUGUCGUGAGAUGUUGGGUUAAGUCCCGCAACGAGCGCAACCCUUGAUCUUAGUUGCCAGCAUUCAGUUGGGCACUCUAAGGUGACUGCCGGUGACAAACCGGAGGAAGGUGGGGAUGACGUCAAAUCAUCAUGCCCCUUAUGACCUGGGCUACACACGUGCUACAAUGGACAGAACAAAGG